rnacentral:lncRNA from 1 species
UGAGUAUAAGAAUAAUAUGAAAAUUUGUUAGGGACAUAAGUGUUAUAAUGAGCAAAAAUUAAAAACCUUAAAUGCAAUUAAAAUGUUGCACAAAAAAAUUAAAAAUUGUGGUGUGAAUAUGAUUACCUUUUAAAGUUUCUUUUCUUUGUAUUUUCAUUCAUUCAAUUUAUCAGAUAAACCCUAGCCUCCUUUUGUUUUCCUCUCUAUAGUUUUUUCUUAUUAUUAAUCUAACAAGCACAAGCUCUCUAGCAUUAUAGAUAUCCUAAACUGAAAAUAGAGAAUAUCAAACUUUCUAUCAGUUGAAGAAAUUCUUAAAUCAACGCGAGCCUAGUUCAUCAAGUUUGACUUAAUCAAAUUCAUGUACAUGCAUACCACCAAGUUUAAACUCAUAUACAAGUUAGAGAUCGAAUAGUUUAACUCGCCGAAGUUCUACUUAAGAAUGUGAACAAUUUACUAGGAAUUAAAUAAAUGCGUUGAAAACAAAUUCAGCUCUUCUAAUUUUCAUUAAUUAUCCAAUAUAAUUCACUAACUUCUUAUUAUUAAAAAAAAAAAAACAAAUUCAUUUAAUUGCUCACUUCAAGCAUAUUAUGACUCUUUAUCGGUACUCAACAAUUCUGGUUCAUUUGGAACUUUUCUCAGCAAUUCCUUUUGCUUCUAUAAGCCUCGAAGUUUCAGAAAAAUAUUCACUUAUCAAACAAAGCACAUCGCAACAAGACAACGUGCGAAUUGAAAAAGAAGAAUUAUAAACCCAGAAAAUUUCCAUCAAAUUCAAGCAACAAAACAGCAUUAAUUCAUUGUAAGAAGCAUUCUUUAGGCAUUUAUUGUUGCUGUCUGAGUGUGUGUGUGUAGAUAUAAAUACUGUAUGGUAGAGACGGGUACCCUGAGAAAGAGGCGGAAGGAGCCGACAUACGAGAAAGCAAACAAGAGCACCUUAACAUUGCU